UACGGGGGGAGCAAGCGUUGUUCGGAUUUACUGGGCGUAAAGGGCGCGUAGGCGGUAGCACAAGUCAGUUGUGAAAUCUCCGGGCUUAACUCGGAAAGGUCAACUGAUACUGUGCGACUAGAGUGCAGAAGGGGCAACUGGAAUUCUUGGUGUAGCGGUGAAAUGCGUAGAUAUCAAGAGGAACACCUGCGGCGAAGGCGGGUUGCUGGGCUGACACUGACGCUGAAGCGCGAAAGCCAGGGGAGCGAACGGG
rnacentral:rRNA from 1 species